CCUACGGGAGGCAGCAGUGAGGAAUAUUGGUCAAUGGGCUUACGCCUGAACCAGCCAAGUCGCGUGAGGGAAGACUGCCCUAUGGGUUGUAAACCUCUUUUGUCAGGGAGCAACGCCGGCUACGUGUAGCCGGACUGAGAGUACCUGAAGAAAAAGCAUCGGCUAACUCCGUGCCAGCAGCCGCGGUAAUACGUAGGGGGCUAGCGUUAUCCGGAUUUACUGGGUGUAAAGGGAGCGUAGACGGUUAUGCAAGUCUGAAGUGAAAGCCCAAGGCUCAACCAUGGGACUGCUUUGGAAACUGGAAAACUGGAGUGCAGGAGAGGUAAGCGGAAUUCCUAGUGUAGCGGUGAAAUGCGUAGAUAUUAGGAGGAACACCAGUGGCGAAGGCGGCUUACUGGACUGUAACUGACGUUGAGGCUCGAAGGCGUGGGGAGCAAACAGGAUUAGAUACCCCUGUAGUC
rnacentral:rRNA from 1 species